rnacentral:rRNA from 1 species
UACGUAGGGGGCGAGCGUUGUCCGAAGUUACUGGGCGUAAAGAGCGCGUAGGCGGGUCUUUAAGUGAGGGGUGAAAGGUUAGGGCUCAACCCUAACACUGCCUUUCAUACUGGGGACCUUGAGUGCGGGAGAGGCGAGUGGAAUGGUCGGUGUAGCGGUGAAAUGCGUAGAUAUCGAUCGGAACACCCAUGGCGAAGGCAGCUCGCUGGCCUGCAACUGACGCUGAGGCGCGAAAGCGUGGGGAGCAAACAGG